CUUGCAAACAAUAUUUACUGAGAACAGCGAGGAACUGUUGAUGUAUGUACGAUAAAUCCCAGGUUUUAUUUGCUGGAUCAGAGUUUACACAUUCGAAGGAAGACAAGCACCUACAGAGAGGAUUCCUUCACCAUCAACAGGAGGACCCUGUCCAAGUCAUCUCCCAACCUAAAAGAUGGCAGGAAAGUAUCUGCCUUUUAAAUCUGAAGAAAAGACUGAAAACAUUAAGUAAGUAUCCUCAAAAUGGGGGGGCAAAAUAAAAAAGUCAGAAUGAAAAAUUCAAAAUCUCACUUACAAGAUCAUUUUUAA
ensembl:lncRNA